rnacentral:lncRNA from 1 species
UUUUUUUUUUUUUUUUUUGUCUUUUUGCCAUUUCUUGGGCCGCUCCCCAAAAAAAAANCCAACAGGUGUCAAUGCAAGGUUGGUGGUGCCUUUUGGUUAUUCUUUGUGCUAAAGUGAGACACUGGCAGGCAGAAUACAUGUGGAUAAAUGUGGCAGAUUAUAUCCUAUAAUCUUUGCUGAAUGAAGGUGAAGAAAAGGUAUAAAUCUACAAAGGCAAAGAAAAACGGAGAGAAAGUGACACCACAAUACAUGAAGAGUGGGGGGUUGAGUGCUGUCUUGGCAGAGUGGAUAAUGAUGCCCACAGAAGGGAAAGCUAAGAAGAAACAGGCCAGCUUGCAUCCAAAAAUAAUCAGAAGGCUCAGGAAUUGGAGGCACCAAUCAACUCUCAAAGCUGAGAGAGUAGGAAAAACAUAGGAGGAUAAGCUAAAGAUUUUCUCAGGAGGUCUUUUUUCCCAAUCCAAACCGCCAGACAGCUGUUCCUCUUCUGCUCCAGCAGGAAAUAGGAGAUUUAAUCCCUGAGUAAUUGAACCAGAGAGAAUUCAGAUUGAAGGGAUAGCAGGAAACAGCAGAGAACAGCCUGAACUGAAUGGAAAAUAGGGGAUAAGGUCUAAGUGUCCUUACUGGGUGGCUCCUAAGAUACUGACCUAUAUAUCCCUCCAAGAAUGAGAUUAGAACAUUGCUCCAGAUGCAUAGACUUCCCCAAAGGGAAAGUCACAGAUUCUGACCUAUGGGGAAUCCACUGGUGAAAUGGUUGGUCCCUGCUUGCACACCCCAAAAUGAAACCAGCAUCCAGUAAACCCUUCAUUUCACUUGGGCAUAGAAAUCCCAAUCACUUUAUAGUGCCUUUUCCACGAGUGAAUAGAUGGCCAAAGAUCAGCAGGAAUAAAUUAUACCCUAGAAUUGAUAACCUAAGGGAGAUAAGAUAGAACAGCUAUGGAAUAAGACCAGAAUGUUAUCAAGGGGAACACAGUAGAAAUAAAAGAGAGAACGGGGUCAUAAGAUCAAAUUGGGGAAACUGUACAGAAAGUAUAACAAAAAGACAAAAAUAUAGAAAAUAGAGAAAAUGCUGCAAAAAUUAGAGGAUUAAACCAGGCAGUCCAGCGUCUGACUAAAACAAGUGUUCAUAGGAUUUUUUUGCCAUAUACCUCUCUGACAAUCUGGUGAACCCUACAGACCCCUUCUCAGAAUAAUGUUUUAAAGUGCAUAAAAUAUACAGGAGUACAAAGGAAGCAAUUACAUUAAAAUAUGGUUGUUAAAAUGUUAGAAAGCCAAAUAGUGAUACUGUAAUAUAUGCUUUUAUGAGCACAUUAAAAGCAAGAUCUAGAGGUGGAUGUAUUGUAAUUUUGAAGUCAUGAUGAGCAUAAAAGAUAUUUUACAAUACCUGCAUUGAUGUGAUGUAAGCUGCUGGGCUGAGAUCAUUUUAGACAGGGCAUCUCUAGAAGACAAAAACCUAGAAAAUUUCCAAGGGCCUCUUUUUUGCUGCCUGGGGAUCCCUAGUCUUGGUAUCACCUCUAGAAGCCAUUUCCAAAUUCUCUCUUUUAUCCCUUCCAAGAGCUCUUUCCUAGGCCCUUGCUUUUGGUAGCAAAGUAAGCUACUGAUGUUCUCUUUUCUUGCCUCCAUGUGGUCCUGGCGCAGCCAUCAAUCAUGCUGCCUGGCCUCUCUCAUCACACUGUUGAGCCAAGAAUAGUGUCACAUCCCUGGACAGAGCAACUUAUCCAAAGGAUGAAUUCACAGAAUCCAAGCUGGUUGGGGACCCGCUAUGGAAUCUUCUGAUUGGAGGGGGAAAGUUAGUUUUUCUUAUUUUUAUUUUAUUAAUUUAUUUUUCUUUUUAUGGAUGCACCUGUGGUAUAUGGAAGUUACUAGGCUAGGGGUUGAAUUGGAACUGCAGCUGCGGCCUAUGCUGUAGCUUGUGCUAAUGCCAGAUCCUUGACCCACUGAGCAAGGGCCAGUAAUGGAACCUGCAUCCUCAAGGACACCAUGUCACGUUCCUAACCCACUGAGCCACAAGAGGAACUCCAAGGCUAUUUUUUCUUAAUUUUAAAUAAGGGAUUGUGUCUGGAUUUGUUAAGAGCUGUUUUCUCUGAUGUAUGGUGAGAAGUAGACACAGUGAGAUCCAAUGAGAUUCAAAGAGAGAGAAAGGGAAGGAGGAGGGAGAGGGAAAAGAAAGUAAGAUGAACGUAUUUGAGAUUCAGAUAUGAGGAGAGAAGGAAGUGGGAGGAGAGGAGAAAGGCAUUUUCUAGGUCUUAAGUGGGUUUGCACUUUCUGUCCUAGAAUUUUAGUUUCUGAAACUCUUCUUUCCAGUUUGUGAGUCACUGCAGUAUCCUUCCCGUCCAUGAAAGCCAAUAAUUCCUUUCUUGCUUAAGUCAAUUUCAGUUGACAUUCUGUAUCGUGCAACCCAAAGGGUUCAACUACCUGUCUGUUGCCUGCAGGGCAUUGUCAGGUGUCAGGAUUUGCUUUUAGAACCCCGCUUUCUUCCUGUUGAGGCCUCUGCUGCCCCAGAGAACACAGCACCCUCCAAUCUUCCCAGCAUCUUUCUUGGGGUUCUUCUCAGGCACACUCUCCAUAGAGCUCUGCCUGAACCAUCUUCUCUGAUUCUAAACUGUCAUUUGUUCAUUUAUUUAACAACUGUUUAUUGAGCAUAAACGUGGUGGAAACACAGCAACCAGUAGAGUAGAAAUAUAAAGAUAUAUCUAAGAAUCAGUGUAAAAAGGUAAUUCAUUUCCUAAACUAAAAGCUAUGAGAGAUCAAAGGAAGGAAUGGCCAUUGCAAAGGCUCUGUGGGUAAUAUAGAUGGGCUGAGAAGUGGGAUUGGGACAGUAGAAUAGAAGGAAGAUGUGCGAGCUCAGUGGAGAGUGUGAAGCUCCAGAAGGAGGGGUGCAGACAAUCAUAGCAGAAGCUGUACUUUCACAGCGCUCUGGGGAGGCUUGAGCAAGGUGCUGAAGAUGCCCAUCCUCUUGUGGCCCCACUCUCCAGUUCAUCUCAGCUUGAGUGUUAAUGCCUAGAGGAGAGCUUUACACACCAAUAUCGUAAUAGUACGAGGAGUUUUCAGUCCUCUAACCUGGGGACUGGCUAAGGGAGUAGUUUCAGGCCUGGGAAGAUAGGGGAGCCUGUUGCCCUGGGAACCUGGGAGGCUUGUCAUCAUCCUGCACAGUGCUCCUUCCACACCAAGGCUGGCGCUGUCUGCUGCCUCUGUGUAGCACCUGUCCAGGUAUGGGUGAAGUCAGAGACCUCCUGAAGAAGGUGGUUGGCAGUGUGCCUGCCUUCCUGGGAAAAACCCUGCUCUCUGCCUCUCCCCUUUUUCUAACUGGAAUUUUCCACAAGAAGGUGGCAGUAUGGCUUUUUCCCCAUUGAUACUACUUCUUGGCACCAAUUCAUUGGGCUGAGAUGAGUUGGCUUCCCAUGAGAUAAGGAAGAGAACUGUGUUUUUAUCUGGUCCUGGGAAGGAAAGACUCAACCUAUUUCUUCCCAGAAAACUUUCCUCUGUAGAAUAAUUUGAUGCAGGUAGAUCAGAUCACUUUACCAACUUCUCUUGAAACUAAACCAUCCUGGACAAACAGAGUAUAGAAGUUUUUUGUUGUUGUUCUUUUUUUUUUUUUUUAAACUUUGUUACUCUUAGAGUUUCAAGGAGACAGUGAAAGCAGUUUUAAAAUAAUUCAAAUAAUCUAACCGUCUUCCUUCAGUCCAAACUGAACUGUAGCAAAUAUGAACCUAUUAAAUAUCCUCUGCCCCCAUCUGAAUUUUCAAGCCCUGGAAAUUGGUUAUUUUAUGUCUUUGCCUGAAAUGACACUUUCAAGUGUUAAAAGUAAAAGGAGUGCCUUUAAGGUCCAGCAGAAGAUCCUUCUUAUCAGGAAGGCUUCCUGACCAUGCCAUUCUUCCUUCACAUCUACCUGAGAAUCAAGUACAGUGAUGAUGAUGAGGAGGAUGGCGAUGAGGAGGUGGAUGGCAAUGAUGACUAUGAUGAUAAAUACAAUCAACUGACAGCCUGCUGUGGCCUAGGAGCUCUGUGUGCAUUAUCUCAUUGUAAUCCCCCCAAAGGCCCCAUGAUGCCAGAGUAAUAAUAAUGAUAAUAGUUAUAAUGAUGAUAACAAUGAAACUAGAGGAAGAUUUAUCAGAAAGUUAAAAAACCUUCAAUUUUAAGUUUUAAGAUUCCUUACUUGCAUUACCCCCAUUCAAGGAUGUAGAAGAAGCCCUGACAAUGUUUACAUGGUCACAUGUUUUGUAAAUUUUGCAGAGGUAAAAUAUUUUAAUCUGUUAGUUAAGAGUGUUAUUAUCUCUUUUUGUGCUAACACCCCCUCUGUCACCAUCCUCUUGUAUUAGUAGCUCUGCAGUGGCUAUGGGUAUCUUCAGGAUGCACCUAAGGAGAAGUUGAUUUGAGGAUGCAUUUGUUUGAGUGUACUGGGUGCCACUUAAGAGGUGUUCAGUUAAUUCAUAAUCUAGUUAAGUUGUGGCAUCCAGGGAUAGACCCACUAUCCUCUAGACCAAGUCACCCAGUAUAAAGAAACAGGGAUACCAAGGACAAGGACUUAGUGAGUGCUGAUCUUUCAAAGGGUAUCUAAGAUUAGUCACUUCACAAGAAAAUCUGAAAUGCCCUGAGAUAUUAGCUCAUAUGUAAAACAUACUUAUCAGAAGUUUUUCUGUAUUUGACCAUAAUCCUAAAAUUUAAGUUAUCAUUACAAGUAAGUUAUAAAGCAAAAGAAACUUUUCUGGGCUAUCAAAAAUAAAAAAGGACAGGGAGUUACCGUUUGGCUCAGUGGUAAUGAACCUGACUAGAAUCCAUGAAGAUGGGGGUUCAAUCCCUGGCCUCACUCAGUGGAUUAAGGAUCUGGCAUUCUCCCAACAGAAAAGGGACAGGUAACCAGGUGUUUUGCUCCUUCCCUAGGCAGGCCUACGCCCUAUCUCAGCAGAAAGUAGCUACUGAAAGGUUAUCACCCAAUAUCCCUUUUAAGCAUAAAGGGGUGAAACACCUGAAUGAUAGGGAUGGAGUAGACACAGAUAAUUGUAGAAGCCCCGAUAAAGAACCAUAUUUAAAGAGGGAAACUUAAGGGACAUUAGGAGAUCUCUGUAAGUAAAUAAAUUGCUCAAAAAGCCAUCAGAGCAAGGCAGGUUUGCUUCAUUAGUGGAGCCUUGAGAAUUGCCUCAGGUCAUUGGGUGGGAGAUGGGAUUAGGCCUGCAUUCAUAUUCGGACUAAGGACAAGAGUUUGAGGAGCACCCUUCUUUGGAUUUGAAUACACCCUACCAGAUACUAAGGAAGAGCUGCUACUCCCAGAAAGGAAGAGAUGGGAUUUUCCAACCCCCACUCCCCUUGGAUGAUAAAAACUGUAGCCCACUGGAUCCUUGGGGCAGUGCUUGCCUGCUUGCAUCUUUCACAAGGGUCCUAUCCUAAUAAAUCUGUUUCUUGCCUAAAAAAAAAAAAAAAAGCAGGAUCUGGCAUUGCCGUGAGCUGCAGUGUAGGUCACAGAUGCAGCUAGAAUUCUGCAUUGCUGUGGCUGUGAUGUAGGCUCGCAGCUGCAGCUCUGAUUGGACCCUAGCCUGAGAAUUUCCAUAUGCCACAGGUGUGGCCCUAAAAAGACAAAAAAAUUAAAAAAAAAUUUUUAGAAGAAACGUAAAUCAACCAUACUUUAAUUAAAAA